rnacentral:lncRNA from 1 species
CAAUCAUACUUGUAGCAAACCUUAAGAUGAUAUGUUACCCACACUUAAAGAGAUAAACAGGCUAAUCUUUGUUGAUUAUUGAUUUUUUUCAAUCAGAGUAAAGAACAUUGUAAAUAUUAUUAUGAUAGAAAUUGUAAAAAAACCUGUUUGCACCAACGUGUGUAUACAAUUCAAAAUUUAUCACACAUUCAUCUUAGAUACGAC